rnacentral:rRNA from 1 species
UACGUAGGUGGCGAGCGUUAUCCGGAAUUACUGGGCGUAAAGCGCACGCGGGCGGUUAUCCAAGUCUGACGUGAAAGCUCCUGGCUUAACUGGGAGAGGUCGUUAGAGACUGGGUAACUUGAGGUGGUGAGAGGGGUGUGGAAUUCCCGGUGUAGUGGUGGAAUGCGUAGAGAUCGGGAGGAACACCAGUGGCGAAAGCGGCACCCUGGCACUACCCUGACGCUGAGGUGCGAAAGCGUGGGGAGCGAACGGG